ACUUGAAUAGUUUAGGUUAAAAUAUUGAUUUGUGGGGUCAAAGAUGUAGGGAAUAUGCUACUUCAGGUU
rnacentral:tRNA from 1 species